rnacentral:rRNA from 1 species
AUCAGCGUCAGUAACAACGUAAUUAAUUACAACUUUCAACAACGGAUCUCUUGGUUCUGGCAUCGAUGAAGAACGCAGCGAAAUGCGAUACGUAGUGUGAAUUGCAGAAUUCAGUGAAUCAUCGAAUCUUUGAACGCACAUUGCGCCCUUUGGUAUUCC